GACAGAGGUGCCGAGCGUUAGGCGGAAUCACUGGGCUUAAAGCGUGUGUAGGCGGGCGGGCAAGUACCUUGUGAAAUCCCACGGCUCGACCGUGGAACGGCUGGGUAUACUGCCUGUCUUGAGCCAACUAGGGGCGAGCGGAACAGACGGUGGAGCGGUGAAAUGCGUAGAUAUCGUCUGGAACGCCAAAGGUGAAAACAGCUCGCUGGGGUUGUGCUGACGCUGAGACACGAAAGCCAGGGGAGCGAACGGG
rnacentral:rRNA from 1 species